rnacentral:tRNA from 1 species
CGUAGCUCAGUUGGAUAGAGCAACGGAUUUCUAAUCCGUAGGUCGCAGGUUCAAAUCCUGCCG